AAGAAUUUAGUUAAAAAUAUAACAUUAAUUUGUCAAGUUAAAAUUAUUUUAUAAAUAAUUCUUA
rnacentral:tRNA from 1 species